rnacentral:rRNA from 1 species
UACGGAAGGCAGCAGUGGGGAAUAUUGCACAAUGGGCGCAAGCCUGAUGCAGCCAUGCCGCGUGUAUGAAGAAGGCCUUCGGGUUGUAAAGUACUUUCAGUCGUGAGGAAGGUGUUAAGGUUAAUAACCUUAGCAAUUGACGUUAGCGACAGAAGAAGCACCGGCUAACUCCGUGCCAGCAGCCGCGGUAAUACGGAGGGUGCGAGCGUUAAUCGGAAUUACUGGGCGUAAAGGGCACGCAGGCGGUUAAUUAAGUUGGAUGUGAAAUCCCCGGGCUUAACCUGGGAAUGGCAUUCAAGCUGGUUAGCUAGAGUCUUGUAGAGGGGGUAGAAUUCCAUGUGUAGCGGUGAAAUGCGUAGAGAUGUGGAGGAAUACCGGUGGCGAAGGCGGCCCCUGGACAAAGACUGACGCUCAUGUGCGAAAGCGUGGGGAGCAAAC